GACGAACGCUGGCGGCGUGCUUAACACAUGCAAGUCGAACGGAGAGGCCCUGCUUAGGGGGGGAGUUCGGGUCGCGAGCGUGUGAGUACCACGUGCGUCACCCGCCCCUGGGUUUGGUCCAAGUACAGGAGGCUGAUACUGGUUCCUGAUAGCAGCCCUCGCUGCAGGGUGUGGGCUGGGAUGUUGCGGCGGGUGGGGCUGGACGCGCGGCUUAUCAUCUUGGUGGUGGGGUAGUGCCAUUCCAAGGCUGUGACGGGUAGCCGGCCUGAGAGGGUGACCGGACACAUUGGGACUGAGAUACGGCCCAGACUCCUACGGGAGGCAGCAGUGGGGAAUAUUGCACAAUGGGCGGAAGCCUGACGCAGCAACGCCGCGUGCGGGAUGACGGCCUUCGGGUUGUAAACCGCUUUCGGCUGUGACGAAGCGUGAGUGACGGUAACUGGUAAAGAAGCACCGGCUAACUACGUG
rnacentral:rRNA from 1 species